rnacentral:rRNA from 1 species
GGCGAGUGAAGCGGGAAAAGCUCAAAUUUGAAAUCUCCUGGCUUUGUCAGGCGAAUUGUAGUUUAAAGAAUCUUUUUCGGGGACAGGCGGGGUAUAAGUCCUUUGGAACAAGGCAUCGUAGAGGGUGACAAUCCCGUUCACGAUCCCGCCAUUGGCCCUAUGUGAUAAGAUUUCAAAGAGUCGGGUUGUUUGGGAAUGCAGCCCUAAAGGGUGGUAAAUACCAUCUAAAGCUAAAUAUUGGCGAGAGACCGAUAGCGAACAAGUACCGUGAGGGAAAGAUGAAAAGAACUUUGAAAAGAGAGUUAAAUAGUACGUGAAAUUGUCAAUAGUGAACGGUUUAGAACUAUUGUUUGUCCUGGGAAAAUCAAUUGGUCCAAGCGCCAGUGCACUUUUCCUCGGACAGGUCAACAUCAGUUUGGGCUCGGGAUAAAAAGCUCCAUGCGCCUCGGCAAGUGGAGUGCUGUCCCGGACCGGACUGAGGACUGCAGCACAGUCAUAGGAUAGCCAGUCGCCUCAGUGCGUACGGAUGUAAACAGCAUGCUGAUUGCGUCUAGUGCGGACGGAGCUCGGUGGGUGAUUUCUCUCCUGUCGCUUAGGAUGUUGACGAAAUGGUUUUAAGCCACCCGUCUUGAAACACGGACCAAGGAGUCUAACAUAUCUGCGAGUUUUUGGGUGCCAAACCCAUAAGCGCAAUGAAAGUGAAUAAGAUGGGAUCCUCGGAGCACCAUCGNCCGGUCUGGAUUUUUUUGAUAGAUCUGAGUUAGAGCAUAUAUGUUAGGACCCGAAAGAUGGUGAACUAAGCCUGAAUAGGGUGAAGCCAGAGGAAA